rnacentral:rRNA from 1 species
AAGAUAAGAUAUCUCAUCCCUUUAAGGGAGUAAGGCCACUGAUAGACGAUCAGGUGAUAGGCUGGAGGUGAAAGCACAGCAAUGUGUUCAGCUGACCAGUACUAAUCGGCCGAGGUCUUGAUCCAAA